UGCGGUGCGUGCGUGAUGCCGAGCGGUGCUGAAUGGCAAAGACUCUGCGCUUGUGUGUGUGCGUGUACGCCGGGCAAGGCUUCCUCUCCGCUCCCCGCCGUGCGGCUGCCAGCAACCGAGAUGAAGCUGAUAUGGUCCGUGUUUCAGAUCCGCGUGACGCAAGUUUCUCUCCUAGUACAUAUCUUCUGAGUUGCUGCUGGCGGCGCGCGCGCAUGUGUAUCUGUGCGUGUGUGUGUGUGUGUGUGCGGCGCCUGCUGCCGAGCGCUGCCCCUCUAGAUCCCUGCUUUCGCUGCCCGCAGCACGGCGUUGUCGGUUGGGCGUGACUCCUUGCACCUCGUAGGUACGACCCUAUCUCGCAACCCCCAGAUUCGCGAGCCCCUGUGCGCGGCGGCUGUGCCGAGUUAUCG
rnacentral:misc_RNA from 1 species